rnacentral:ncRNA from 1 species
UGGGCAGUAUCCAAGACGCGAACUGCACCUUGAGUAAAUCAAUAAAAUGUUUGUCUGCCUUGAUCCAUAGUGACAGGGACAGAGGG